rnacentral:rRNA from 1 species
GACGAACGCUGGCGGCGUGCUUAACACAUGCAAGUCGAACGGAAAGGCCCCUUUUGGGGUACGGGAGUGGCGAACGGGUGAGUAACACGGGAGUAACCUGCCCUUGUCUUCGGGCUCACUUCAGGGAACUGGGGCUAAUACCGGGUAGUAAUCCUUGCUGCGUGUUGGGGGUUGGAAAGCUUCGGGGGUUUGGGAUGCACGCGCGGGUGGUCAGCCUGGUGGUCGGGCAGUGGCGUGGCAAGGCAUUGGCGGGUAGCCGGCCUGAGAGGGCGCCCGGCCACAUUGGGACUGAGCUACGGCCCAGACUGCUACGGGAGGCAGCAGUGGGGAAUAGGGCACAAUGGGCGGAAGCCUGAGGCAGCGACGCCGCGUGCGGGAUGACGGCCUUCGGGUUGUAAGCCGCGUUCAGCAGGGGUGAAGCUGGUGGUGACGGUACCUGCAGAAGAAGCACCGGCUAACUACGUG